AUGGAUCUGGCAACGGGCGCCAUGGGCUCCCUGAUUCCCAAGCUGUUUGAGCUCCUCAAGGAGGAGUACAAGCUGAAGGAGAGCGUCAAAGAAGGCAUCAGAUCUCUUGAGAAAGAGAUGAAGAGCAUGCAGGCUGCCCUCGGCAAGGUGGGUGAGAUGCCGCGGGACCAGCUUGACGAGCAGGUCAAGAUCUGGGCAGGGGAGGUGAGGGAGCUCUCCUUUGACAUGGAGGAUGUCGUCGACAAGUUUCUGGUGCGUGUGGAUGACGGCUCCAAGCCUGCCGCCAACCCGAAGAAACUCAAACGGUUCGCCAAGAAGAUGGUCGGCUUAUUCACCAAGGGGAAGACUCACCAUGAGAUCGCCGACGCGAUCAAGGCCAUCAAGAAGCAAGUACAAGAGGUUGCUGACAGGCGUGCAAGGUACAAUAUCAACAAUAUUAUCUCUAAGCCUGCUGCCGUGACUCCCAUCGAUCCUCGCCUUGGGGCUCUGUACCAGGAAGUGAGAGAUCUUGUUGGCAUUACCGGAACAAGGGAUCAAGAGAUAAUAGAGCUGCUGUCGGAGGGGGACGACAUGUCCAAGAAAAAGUUGAAGAUCAUCUCUGUUGUUGGAUUUGGAGGAUUGGGCAAGACAACUCUUGUCAAAACAGUUUAUGACAAGAUCAAGGGAGAUUUCAACUGCAGGGCUUUUGUUCCUGUCGGUCGAAAUGCUAAUGCGAAGGAGGUUUUCAUGGACAUCCUGCACGAGCUUGAUCCUGAAAAGGACAAAGGUCAGCUCACCAUGUUGAAUGAAAGACAACUCAUUGACAAAAUCCAACUGCGUCUCGAGAACAAGAGGUAUCUCAUUGUAAUUGAUGAUAUAUGGGAUGAAAAGCUAUGGAAAAUUAUCAAUUUGGCAUUCUCUAAUAGCAAUAAUGGCAGUCGGUUAAUCACAACAACCCGUAUAGCCAGUGUAGCUAAACGGUGCUGCUCAUCCACCAAUGAUUCAAUCUAUCAAAUGCAACCACUUAGUGAUGAUGAUUCUAGAAGGCUCUUCUAUAGUAGGAUAUUUUCUCAUGAGAGUGGGUGUCCUCAUGAAUUUGAAGAGGUAUCUAGAGAUAUAUUGAAGAAAUGUGGUGGUGUGCCAUUAGCCAUCAUUACAAUAGCUGGUGUUUUGGCUAGUGAACAGAAAGUAAAUUCACAUGAUGAGUGGCAUGUUUUGCUCGAGUCUAUUGGGCGUGGACUUACCGCAGACCCUACCGUGGACGAGAUGUUGAGGAUACUAUCGUUCAGCUAUUAUGACCUGCCUUGCCCUCUGAAGACAUGCUUGAUAUAUCUAAGUAUGUUUCCGGAGGAUCACAAGAUCAUGAAAGAUCAGUUGAUAUGGAUGUGGAUUGCCGAGGGUUUUAUCCAAUCUGAAACAAUAUGA
rnacentral:rRNA from 1 species